rnacentral:lncRNA from 1 species
CACUGAGGAGUUUCCCUUUUGUGAGGAAAGCUGUCAUGUCACUUCCUGCUGCUGACAAGUCAGUUUGGGAGAUUAAAAUGAAGGGGGGCGGGGUGCCUCUGAGAAGUGCUGGCUGCUUGGUUUCUGUUGCUGUAUACAGAGGCAAACAAUGCCAGCCUGCUGACCCUGCCUUGCUGGAGCGGGCUUUCCCACACCCCCUAGUGGGGUGUAUCCCGGUCACCUGGGGCUGUUUGUCUCCAAAGGUUGCAUUCUGGGUAGCAGGUAGGAGGGCUGCCCACCUCUGGGGACUUUUUUUUCUGAUGCUGUGCUGGGCAAGUUUGUUCAAGAACAACCCAGUUGAAUCCAGCCUCGUUCUGCUCUAGUGUCUGAUUAGCUCUGGGUUUUGUUCUCCGAAGAACAAAGGGUCCUCACAGUAUUGGCCUUGAAGUGUUGUCUUACAGAGAACUUCUGUUGAGGAAAGUACCUAAAAACAAAACAAAACAAAAAACAAACAAACAAACAAAAAACCCAUCUCCUAAUGAGCUUUUAAAUCUAAGAGCCGUCCCACUCAUCCAUUACCUCCAUUGCGUAUCUAUGACUCCAUUGCCCUCUAAUUGGUGAAAGACCAAGCACUUGCUGGUAAGUGACCUCAAACUGGGAUGUGUGUGUAAGGAGACCAUGGGAUAUGGAUGGAGCCAUGAAGGCAGGUUGGUAAAAAAGGACAUUCCAGUGUGGCUGGUCAGACACAGGUUGCUCAGGGGUCACCAGCCACAUUGAGGCCCGAAUGGCGCACUGGGAAAGAAGCUUAGCCCAAAGGACAGCAAAACCGGAGCCUUGAAUGGACCAUUUGUGGACAGGGAAUAGAACAUUUGAGUGGGUCGAACCUGUGAGUCCCGGAUUUUGAUAGUACUCUUGAAGCCUCAGUUUCCCCAUCUUUAAUGUGGGACAAUCACCCCUUGCUCUAAAGGCGAUUUUGAUUCAUGAUUUAACUUAAUGAAAAGCACAUUAUUGAGACUUGUGAGUCAGCUGGUCCCCAUUCUGUCACAGCAUGGAUGCCCCUCCCUGAGCAGAGUGCCCUGGCAGAGGGAAACGGGUAAGCUGUCCUGCCUAUGUCAUGACGCCAGCCUGCAUUCACAUAAUGCCUGUCACUAAGCCUCGCCAGAAGAAGUGGCCUUGCUCUGAGAUCACUCCGCCCUGCCCCACUGGCCUGGGCCCUCUGAGAGACAGUUUCCUCAUCUGUAAGAGGCACCUGAAGUGUCAUCCAGCUUCCUCUCCUGGGCCUAAGGCCCCUCCAUCCUCAAGGCCAGGGAGCCUGCAGUCCUAGGCUUCGUUCAGGUUGGCUGCAGAAGCCACAGGCUAGAAGUCAGAUGUUUCUUAAGAUGGCACAUGGGGGGGGGGAACCUUAGAAAAGUGCUAGUGUAAUGGACUUGACCCUCCCAAGAAUGGGCUUCCCCAAAGCGUCUAUGGAAGGAAGGUACCACCUACUCCCAAGUCCCAGGCCUGUCUUUGCCUUGCCCUGGACCACACCAUAAAGAUGGAAUUAUGAAUCACCACCACAACUGGCAUCAGUCACUCAUCCAUCCCUUCAGCAGUGACACUGAGACCCAGAGAUGUCCAGUGUCCUGGGCCAAGUAACAUAAUGGAGGCAGAAACAGCAUUAAAACACCACAGGGGCUGCAGGCACUGGAACCUUCCAGCCUCUAACCCUCCUCCACAGCUCGGAAGACCUAGAAAGAACACCACAGCUCUGCUGGCUAGAACCAGUUAACAGGUCAAGGUCCUGGCACAGGCUCAAGCAAAGGUCUCCAGUCCACAGAGCUCUUUCUCUACACAUGCAGCUCUGGGUACGAAUGAAUACAUGUUAUCAGUGUGGUAGGCAGGGGCCAUAUAAAGGUUGAUUCAUGAGGCUGAGACCUUCGUGGGGUUCAGGUGCAGUCUGGUGGGGGAGACAGACACAAUGUGGUGACCUUAGGUGUUAGUCACACAGAGAGCCAUCCAGGGAGAGGCAACAGGGUUGGUGUGAUGUGGUGUGGUGUGGUGGCAGCGGUGGGAGAGGGUAGAGCAUUGCUACGGAAACGUGGAGUGCCAGGGGAGGGUUGUGAGAAUAAGACUUGCUGGCUGACCUCAAGGGACCCUAAGGAGCUUCAGCGGGAUGGCUGCAGGGCCCGAGGAAGGAAAGGCCCUCCGGGUGGCUCUGAGGUAUCUAGGGCACAGGGUGCUAGCUACCUCCAUGGGGAAGCCUCAGGUACAAGGCUCAGGUCUGCUAUUCUUCAUGACCCUAGGCGUGUUCCUUCCUUCUGAGACUCCCAUUUCAUCCCUUCAUCUACAUAAAGUAGCCGCUACGGCACAACAGAGUACCUGCACUCUGCACAGGCUAAACUCUGUCUUUUCUUUCUUUCUUUUCCUGGUUGCUUAUGGUCCCUGAUUUGGCUGAGGGUCCUAGUUUCUUCGUCUGAGAACCCAGGAACUGCUUCUCUGUGUUUGUGGCUAUAUGGGCUGUGGCAAGCUGAUGCACCCUUUAGUCGGCAUCUUGGAAAAGCAUGGCACCAGCCUCCUUGGAUUCCCAAGACAUCCCUGGCUGCCCAAGGGCCUUUGAGGAUUGCACCUCUGUGUGGAUUCCCUUGUCCUUGGCCACUUCCCUGCCUCCUCCAUGCCUCCCGCUGGUCACCCUGUCAUAUCACCAGACGGAUGCUUGCCAGGGCCUGUGAAGAAGUUCCUGAAGAAGUUCCUUUCUGGGCUGUCAGAUGGCUCAGUGGGUAAGAGCACCUGACUGCUCUUCUGAAGGUCCAGAGUUCAAAUCCCAGCAACCACAGGUGGCUCACAACCAUCUGUAACAAAAUCUGACUCCCUCUUCUGGAGUGUCUGACAGUGUACUUACAUAUAAUAAAUAAAU